rnacentral:rRNA from 1 species
AUUGAACGCUGGCGGCAUGCCUUACACAUGCAAGUCGAACGGCAGCACGGGGCAACCUGGUGGCGAGUGGCGAACGGGUGAGUAAUGCAUCGGAACGUGCCAUUGAGUGGGGGAUAACGUAGCGAAAGUUGCGCUAAUACCGCAUAUUCUGUGAGCAGGAAAGCAGGGGGACCGCAAGGCCUUGCGCUCUUUGAGCGGCCGAUGUCAGAUUAGCUAGUUGGUGAGGUAACGGCUUACCAAGGCGACGAUCUGUAGCGGGUCUGAGAGGAUGAUCCGCCACACUGGAACUGAGACACGGUCCAGACUCCUACGGGAGGCAGCAGUGGGGAAUUUUGGACAAUGGGCGCAAGCCUGAUCCAGCCAUGCCGCGUGAGUGAAGAAGGCCUUCGGGUU